rnacentral:lncRNA from 1 species
UAGAAACAAAUCAAGGAUUAUUUUUAGGAGAAUUAUAAUCUCUAAAUUAGUGGAACAAAUAUAAGAUUAUUUUUAGGAGAAUUAGAAUCUUUAAAAUAAUGAAAACAAAUCUAUGAUUAUUUUUAGGAGAUUUAGAAUCUCUAAAUUAGUGGAAACAAAUCUAGGGUUAUUUUUAGGAGAAUUAGAAUCUGUAAAUUAGUGAAAUAAAAAAUAAUAACAAAAAAAAAAUAUCGAAUUAUAUAAAUUAUAAAAUUUCCCACACUCUAAAUAAUGGAAUCAAACUAAUCAACCGAAAACAAUGGAUCAUAAAUGGCCGAAAAAUGUAGAUAAAAUGGUAGAAAAAAAAGAAAGAAAAUGGAUAGAAUAAAUCAAGGAUAAA